UACGUAGGGGGCAAGCGUUGUCCGGAAUCAUUGGGCGUAAAGAGCGUGUAGGCGGCCAGAAAAGUCCGCUGUGAAAACUCGAGGCUCAACUUCGAGCUGUCGGUGGAAACUUUCUGGCUAGAGUCCGGAAGAGGAGAAUGGAAGUUACCUUCGGUGGUAGACGGUGAAAUGCGCAGAUAUCAGGAAGAACACCCGUGGCUAAGGCGGCCCUCUAGUACGGUACUGACGCUGAGAACGCGAAAGCGUGGGGAGCGAACAGG
rnacentral:rRNA from 1 species